UGUUAAAAUCAGCAUAAGUUCCUGGCUGCGAGAUUCAUUGGCCCAGAAGAAAGGGAAGUGGUGGUACAGUUAUGCAAUGACAGUUUUCCUUGGGAAAUUUUUGGUCCUUUUGAUUAAACAACUCAGUAUUCAUCUGUCUCCUGAAUUUAUUGCAACAACCAUCUUUUAAGAAAGACUUCAGGGUGAUGGAAUAUUGCUCACAGGAUGCAGGUGAGAUAAAGGGGUCUUUGUUGGGGAGAAGGUGUGGGAGAGAGAUGGUUUCUAAAUGCUUUGUUUUGGUCUCGAGUCCCAUGGCAGCUGGAAUUAUUGGUGUACAGAAACAAGGUUUUAAUCUUUAACCUUUGACAUGGAAUUGACAGCUUGGGAGAGAUAUCCUUUUCAACCGACUUGCUAUAAAUCAAAUAUUCAUAUAUGGAAAUAGCAUUUGUUUAGAAACUGUCUAUUUUUCCUCAGCAGACAUAAGGGCUCUGGUUUCAGAGCAUCCGUCUUAAUAUGUUUAUCUUCAGAGACAUCCAGAAAGUUUUACCACAGAAAAGUGAUAUGCAGAGAUUAAAUGACUCUCCCAAAGUCAUAUAAGAAGUCUGUGGCAGAGCAAGUAAAUGAAUCCACAUCUCCUGAAUCCUUGGCUACUAUCUUAGCCACUUUUUUUUUUUUUUUUCCCUGCAAAACAAAUUUUAUGUUAGAAUUUAAAUUUCUGGGUGCACCUCAAGUCUCAUUGGGAGUCUGACUCCAUACAUUUAGUAGGGUCACUGUAAAUUUUAUCCAAAGCUCUUCUGACUCAGAAAGUAGAAAAAUAAAGUAGGUCUUUUAUGUAACUGUGUCAGAGGCAACUUAGACAGCAGCCAAGCCUUUCAAGGAAAGUGGAUUUCCCUUGUGUGUUCUGGCUUAUAAAUCCUGUCUCUUUUAUUUUAGGAAUAUAAUUGUUGCACCUUCCAAAACAACACACAAGGAGCCAACUGCAACAGUCAGUCUUGUGUGCCUGUAAUGGUCUUGGCCAAUGCAAGGAAAGAGAUAUAAAAUUAAUGAAAAGGAAAGAGAAAAACCAAAAUAUGUGGGUUUAGUCACUACAAAUAACUCUCCUUUGUCAAGACACCGUAUGUUCGGUGUACAUAGAUGAGUCAUGUUGUCUCUUGUGAUCACUCUAAUCAAAGGGGAGGACUGGACCCUUCCUGAUGCUGAUUCAGUCCUCCUGAGACAGGUUUCUAAAAUAAGUGUGGUGAAUCAGCUUCUAGCAGCUCCUAUCUCCCUUCACUGACUGUGGAGUGGACACUUACAGUGGACACAUGACUUGGACACAAGAGAAAAGCCAGACAUUAUUUCUCUCAUGUAGGUGCCAGUUGCAAAGCUUGUCCUAAGUUGUAGGUAAAGUGAUUAAGGCAUCUUUGUAUUUUCACUCUGAUUUGCUCCAGUCACAAGCCCAUCUGUAGACAUUGCCUAAGAGGAAAAAAACAAAACAAAACAAAACAUGGUGAAUUAAAAAUGUCCAAAAUCUUUAAAUUAUGCAGAAGAUAUUUUCUUAUACAUAAAUAUCACUUCCUGACUCUAUGUACACUUAAAAUUCCUCGUGAAAGCAAGAUCUGUUUAAUCACUUAGUUGUAUUUCUUCUUCAGUCAGUUGAUGAAGGAAAGUUAUAAACAUGAAGUAAAAUCAGAAUCUACCCUGAAAAGACACUGUGUUGUAGAAUCUUUUAGUUUUCCAGGAAAUCCUGUUUGUCACUUGUCAAUACAGAGAAAGAACAUCAAAACUCAUGAGCAGAUGAGAUGUUGCAUCCUUUUACGAGGACAUCAGUGACCAACUGCUUCUGCUGCCUAAGCUGUUCUGCUGGUGCAGGUUCUUGCACCUGAGCAGCACUGGGAACCACCCACGCUGCCUCUGAUGAACUCACCAGUCAAGCUGUUGACUCCAAAACAUCCUCUGGUCUCAGGAUUCCCUUCUGGCAGCACAAGACCUGAGCUCACAUCACUGGGCAAAGACAAAACAGGAGCCCAGCUUAAAAUAGUAGAUGAUGCCAUACAGAUUGUCUGGAUUUUAUUUUUAACUGGCUCAGCCAUGUGCCAGUGGAAGUGAUGACUGAGAUGUCCAUUUAAAGUCAUAAAGUGAUCUGGGCUUGCUGGUGAGGAUCAUCUCCCUCCAGGCUGUGCCAGGGUAACCCAGCCCAGAGCUACUUCCUAGUCUGACCUUCCAUUCUUUCUCUUAAUAUCUCUCUGCAUCUUUGACCAUAUCUACUAUUACCUUUGCAGUGUGCCUCAGUCCCAGCUCAUCCCUUCUGGCUGCUCUUCCUGUCCUGUCUGUCUCCCAGAUCCCCUCUUCUCCCUUCUGCUAAUUCUUCAUAGCACUCUGACACAACUACAGGAAGGCACUUCCUAUCCCACCGCAGAGUUGUUUGGAAUAAAUAAUUCACAGUGAUUUCAUCUGCAGCACUAUGGGUCACUUGGAGAUGAAACUGAAACAUUCUAAUCCUCAACGGGAAAUUAUCAAGCCUGGUGAAGAAAAAGCAGAUGUGUAUGUCCCUUACAGUGCACCUGGGUUCUCUUCAUCAGGAAAGCAACAGGCUUAUGCUCUUUUUCAAUGAAAAUAAAAUAUGUAUCCUUUCUUCAGACAACAGAUAUUAAACUGUGGUGAUUGAAGAAAACCAUAGUUUUUACUUGCAGGAAUAGAUAAUUUGCACUAAAGAGUAUUUAAAGAAUUGUCCAAGGAUAUCCCAGAAGUCUAAUUAACAUUUUUUUUAAGAGAAAGUGGGACACCAAGAAACUCUAGAGGUAUGAUAAGAAACUAUUAACAGUUUAAAAUUCAGCUGGGACAGGACAAGAUGAGCCUGACACUGAUCUUAUCAAAAUUACAGAAAGGCUGCUAUGUGACACUAUCCAAAAGGAAUGAAGAAAUUGUAACAAUAAGAUGAAAAAUUAUACUGGCAUAAAUAGCUUGUGACUCUUUUCUGAUUCUUUCCUUUAUUUUCAAAACUACAGGGUGGAUGAGUAGAGAUAAUUGUGUAGACAUAAUUCUUUUAGUACUCCCCAAAGAAUGUAAUCCUGUUUUUAUAUCUGAAAAAUCAAUAAACAAGGCUAACAAAAGUGAA